AAGGAGCCAGGAAAGAGAGAUGAUUCCACCAAUCAAAGCUCCUAAUUAGUUCGUGGGAUCAGGCCUAUGGAGCACGACAAAUCUGCCGACCCAAAAGUACAGAAGGACAAUCAACGCAAUUGACUCGGUCCAAUUCUAUCAAAAUUAAAUCAAUGCAGUCACAUCGACGCUUAAUUUCUCCAUAGUCUUUCACGCGCGA
rnacentral:lncRNA from 1 species